AUUGAACGCUGGCGGCAUGCUUUACACAUGCAAGUCGAACGGUAACAGGUCUUCGGAUGCUGACGAGUGGCGAACGGGUGAGUAAUACAUCGGAACGUGCCCAAUCGUGGGGGAUAGCUCGGCGAAAGCCGGAUUAAUACCGCAUACGAUCUACGGAUGAAAGCAGGGGAUCGCAAGCCCUUGCGCGAAUGGAGCGGCCGGUGGCAGAUUAGGCAGUUGGUGGGGUAAAGGCUCACCAAGCCGACGAUCUGUAGCUGGUCUGAGAGGACGACCAGCCACACUGGGACUGAGACACGGCCCAGACUCCUACGGGAGGCAGCAGUGGGGAAUUUUGGACAAUGGGCGAAAGCCUGAUCCAGCAAUGCCGCGUGCAGGAUGAAGGCCUUCGGGUUGUAAACUGCUUUUGUACGGAACGAAAAGGCUCUGGUUAAUACCCGGGGCUCAUGACGGUACCGUAAGAAUAAGCACCGGCUAACUACGUGCCAGCCGCCGCGGUAACAC
rnacentral:rRNA from 1 species